rnacentral:rRNA from 1 species
UCCACGCCGUAAACGAUGAUCACUCGCUGUAUGCGAUACACAGUAUGCGGCCAAGCGAAAGCAUUAAGUGAUCCACCUGGGGAGUACGAUCGCAAGGUUGAAACUCAAAGGAAUUGACGGGGGCCCGCACAAGCGGAGGAACAUGUGGUUUAAUUCGAUGAUACGCGAGGAACCUUACCUGGGCUUAAAUGGGGAACGACAGCUGCCGAAAGGUGGCCUUCUUCGGACGUUCUUCAAGGUGCUGCAUGGUUGUCGUCAGCUCGUGCCGUGAGGUGUCGGGUUAAGUCCCAUAACGAGCGCAACCCUUAUCGUUAGUUGCCAG